rnacentral:rRNA from 1 species
AUUGAACGCUAGCGGGAUGCCUUACACAUGCAAGUCGAACGGAGUGGCGAACGGGUGAGUAAUGUAUCGGAACGUGCCCAGUAGCGGGGGAUAACUACGCGAAAGCGUAGCUAAUACCGCAUACUAUUGGAGCGGCCGAUAUCGGAUUAGCUAGUUGGUGGGGUAACGGCUCACCAAGUCGAGGAACGGUAGCUGGUUUGAGAGGACGCCCAGCCACACUGGGGCUGAGACACGUCCCAGACGCUUACAGGAGGCAGCAGGGGGGAAUUUUGGACAAUGGGGGAAACCCUGAUCCAGCCAUCCCGCGUGUGCGAUGAAGUCCUUCGGGUUGUAAAGCACUUUUGGCAGGAGAGGGGUACCUGCAGAAUAAGCACCGGCUAACUACGUGCCAGCAGCCGCGGUAAUUC